ACUUGAAUAGCUUAUUUUAGAGCGCGACGCUGAAGAUGUCGAUGAGGCACACUUUGCCUUUAAGUA
rnacentral:tRNA from 1 species